rnacentral:rRNA from 1 species
GACGAACGUUGGCGGCGUGCUUAAUACAUGCAAGUCAACUGAAGCAGUGGUAGCAAUAUCGCUGUGGAGGUGGCGCACGGGGGAGUAACACGUAGGUAAUCUGCCUUCAGGUCUGGCAUAACACCGGGAAACCGGGGCUAAUAGCAGAUGAUGCAGCGGCUCGACAUCGAGACAGUUGUUAAAGCUAUGGCGCCUGACGAUGAGCCUGCGUCUGAUUAGCUAGUUGGCGGGGUAACGGCCCACGAAGGCAAAGGUCAGUGGCUGGUCGGAGAGCAUGAUCAGCCACACUGGAACUGAGACACGGUCCAGACUCCUACGGGAGGCAGCAGUAAGGAAUAUUGCUCAAUGGGAGAAAUCCUGAAGCGGCAGCGCCGCGUGAGGGUCGAAGGCCUUUUGCUUGUAAACCUCUGUAGUGAGAGAAAAAAAUCCCAAUCUUUGGGACAUGAUGGUAUCUCAAAAGUAAGCCCCGGCUAACUACGUG